UACAUGUUUACAAUGGCAAAUAUAUGUUUGCAAAAACUAAUAAAUGUUUAAAAUAUCAAAUGUUUACAGCAAUCAACACGCUUGCAGUAAUUGCACAUAUUUCCAACAGUGUGCUAAGGGGAGAUAAUUCUAAGUGUCCUAAUCUGAUUCCAUUCCCCGCCCACAUUCAGACACAAAGACGCCUCACUGUUAUUUUAUCAUUUUAACGUUGCUGGGUCCAAUGAGAGAACAAUUUUUUUUUGUCAGUAUCCCGUAAAGAGAUAAAGACAAACAGACGAAAGGGAAGUUGAAAUAAAGAAAAUAACUUACAUCAACACUAUCAACAAGAAACAAUUCUGACUUGCUUCUUCAAUUUUGAAAUAUAAUUUUAUUGAACCGUUCUUUCAAAAUAUUACGAACAUAUCUGGUAAUAUGAUGUAACAAAACUACAACCAUCCUUUUACAACUUGUUCUACUACGUGUGAUUAUGAAGUUGGUGUUUGGUUAAAUCUAACCGUCAACAGCGUUGCUCUAUUCAACAAAAUUCACUUUUCACGAAGGAGUAAAUGCCAACCAUUAUUUGGAUGAUAAGAAGUUUUCUAGUGGACAUGACAACUUACAAGAUAAAUUAAAACUUACACUGGUGGAAGUUCUCAUUUCAACUGUUCCUGAGACAUUGUAGUGUUUAUCCUGCACAUUAAUACCACACACUUUGAAAUCUCCCUUCCCAAUAUUUUUCUGAUAUUUAAUCAUGUAAGCACUAUCUAUGAUGAGUUAAAGAUAUAAAUGUGAAUCAAUAAUCAAGGAAUGGAACUACUCUUUAUCAGAGAAGCCAUGUAUAUGGUUCUUACUAUCAUCUUAGGGCUGUUCAUUGCACGCGUGUACCGAAGGCGGCGAUAUAAACACUACGAAGUGCGAGUGCGUGAUGUAAGCAAAGGUCAUCGUUGGAUGAUGGUCAGUAUCUUCCCCAAACCAACAUACUGUGUCAUAAGCCAGAACAGAAUUAGUGAUGGUGCACAAUGUCAUUCCUGCAGUAUCUGUGUUGAUGCUGCCAACAUGAAGGAAGCCAAUCAAAAAAUUCCUUGCAAGCCACUCUCAGUGAAAAGCAUGUUCACACAUCAUCAAUGGGGGCAUGGCAACUUGCCCUUGUAUAGUAUCUGUUAUAUUUGUAAUGAGCCUUGCAAUAACCAGCUGCAACUUUGUGAUUACAUCUGCUCUUGGUGCCAACGCUGUGUCCAUACUGAAUGUUUCACACACUGUAAAAAGGAAUGUGAUCUUGGUCCUUACAAAACAGUGAUUGUACCUCCACACUGUGUCACCCUUAAGUGGGUUGGCUUGAAAGGCAGGCAGCACCUUAUUGUAGACUCAGUGAAGAGACCAAAUAUAGUGAACUGGAGCCCACUUAUUGUCAUUGCCAACCGAAAGAGUGGUAACAAUGAUGGGGAAAGCAUCUUACAAGCAUUUCGUUCCUAUCUGAAUCCUGCACAGGUCAUUGAUAUUUGUGAUAUUACACCAGAGCCUGCACUAAAGUGGUGUCACUUGCUCCCCAGUGUCACAAUCCGGGUGUUGGUCUGUGGUGGCGAUGGCACAAUUGGAUGGGUCUUAAAUGCCAUUGAGAGACUUAGUCUACAGCCUCAACCCCAAAUAUGUAUUUUGCCAAUGGGCACUGGAAAUGAUUUAUCUCAAGUUUUAGGUUGGGGAGAAAUAUUCACUGAUCAAAUAGAAGUCCCUAAAAUUCUUGACAAGAUAAACCAAGCUACUGUAGUUCAGUUAGACAGGUGGAAUCUUGAUAUCAACCAUUCAGGACACUUUCGACUGCCUUACUACAAAAAGAAAAAUAUGUGUUGGAAUAAUUACUUCUCCAUUGGUGUUGAUGCUCUUGUUGCUUUGAAUUUUCAUCGCCAACGAGAAUCAUGGCCGACCCUUUUAUCAAACCGCAUAAUCAAUAAGGUGUGUUACUUCAUGUAUGGCACUAAAGAUGUUUUGGAACGAGAAUGCCAUGAUCUUCAAAAAAAAUUAACAAUGGAUAAUAAAGAAGCCAUCAUAAUGUUCAACAACAGGGUGUGUUCCUUGUCAGAGAAAAAUGAGAACAAAGGUGUAGAAUGGCUUAACCAAGGCUAUUGUCUCUAAGCAACGUCAAAACUUUCAGUGACAAAGACAACAGCAACAUCAUAAUGUCACAGCAACAGCAAUGACAACAAAAACAGGAACAGCAAUACUAAAGAAAUGAAACAUAGAAACACGAAUAUUGCCACUGCUGCCACAACUACCUCUGCUACAAUGAUUUCUUUGCGAUUGUGGUGAGAAAUUUGGAAAAUUUCUGCAUAGAUGAAGAAGAUUUAAAAAUGGCUCGGAAAAUUGUUAAAAGGAAUGGGAAACCUAAACCCUCCUCUGACAUCCUACAUAAUAUCUUGAGAUGCACGGUCACAUACUGCUGCAUUGGAGUGAAAUCUCAGUAGGUGGAAAAUGCGUCUUAGAGUAAAAUACAAAAAUGCCUUGGGUGUGUGCGGGAACAGAUGACCCACAUUACCUAAGGAAAGAAGGGUGGGACUAUUGAGGUGAAAAUGGGACAGGCGAAGCCAAGUGUCAUUCUGCGACCAACACCUUGCUAAGAUUAGCAUGUUGAACAUGCCAUCAGAAAUAUCCACCUGGUUAGUGGUCGUCGUCUUGACCAGUUUAGAUGAAGAAAAUGCAACAAUCUGGGAGGUCAAGAAAAUACCAAAACAAAACUGGUCAGGUAUAGGUAUGGAAAUGACCCUACAAUGUAAGCAAGCCCAUAUCAACCAGCUGCCCGAUCUAACCGAUCUCCCAGAUAGUACUCACCUGACACUGUUAGUGGUGGGUAGACAAUCAAGAUGCUACAUAUGUGAAUCUGUAACUCGCUUAAAGGCUUUCUGCCCUGAAACAAAAAUUAAACUCCCACUGCUGUCAACACUACGAACACCACAAGUACAAAAUCAUAAAGAAGUGCUCAGGACUCCUACUCUUACACCGAUACCCAUGCUCACACCCAAACCAAGAGAAAGAAGGAGUCUACCCACAGGUUGCUACGGAAAAGCAAGCUUCUCCUGAAUACUGCCUCCCAAACCAACAUAAGCUGCAAUGACAUCGAGAAAGAAGAGCUGAACAAAUAAUGGAUCACUAAGACAAAAGGGGGUAGGUAAAAGAGGAGGAGAGUACACAGCCCUAUCCAAGAACUCAACAAAAUAUAUAGAAACCACAACUGCAACAUAAUUCACAACCACUCCUACAAAAAUAAGAACAACAACUUCAAAAACAGCAACAUCAUGCUGCUGUUGACAACAACAUGAAAUCACAGGAAUGCAGAAGCAACCAAUUACGAAACUUCAAAAACAAAAAUAUUCCGCAGACUGUGGGCGAAAUGUAUCCAUCAAUUUCACUGUUGUGAACAAGCGCAACAGUGAAUUGAUGAAUUUGUAAGUCAAAACAAAACAAAAUAGAGACAGAGGGAAAGGAAUUUGAGGAUUUCAUGCUCAAAAUCCCAAAAUGGUGUCAGACGUUUAUAAAAUUAUAAGAGAAAAAUUCUCAUGUAGUAUGGAGAUUUAAAAAAAAAACAAUUAGUAAAGGGCUGUUGGAAGGGCAUUUUAAAAACUUUUGGCCAGUAGAGAGGCCCAGAACUUCCAGGCUUCUUGAAAAUCAAGGUUGAAUUAGAUGGUAAAAAAAUCAAUCUCCCCAAAUUGGAAGGCCUUGUUGUUUUAAAUAUCAGUAGUUGGGCUGGAGGUUGUCGGGUCUGGGAAAUCAAAGCAGAUGAAGAAG